rnacentral:rRNA from 1 species
GACGAACGCUGGCGGCGUGCCUAAUACAUGCAAGUAGAACGCACAGUUUAUACCGUAGCUUGCUACACCAUAAACUGUGAGUUGCGAACGGGUGAGUAACGCGUAGGUAACCUGCCUGGUAGCGGGGGAUAACUAUUGGAAACGAUAGCUAAUACCGCAUAAUAUUGAUUAUUGCAUGAUAAUUGAUUGAGAGAUGCUAUUGCAUCACUACCAGAUGGACCUGCGUUGUAUUAGCUAGUAGGUGAGGUAACGGCUCACCUAGGCGACGAUACAUAGCCGACCUGAGAGGGUGAUCGGCCACACUGGGACUGAGACACGGCCCAGACUCCUACGGGAGGCAGCAGUAGGGAAUCUUCGGCAAUGGACGAAAGUCUGACCGAGCAACGCCGCGUGAGUGAAGAAGGUUUUCGGAUCGUAAAGCUCUGUUGUAAGAGAAGAACGGGUGUGAGAGUGGAAAGUUCACACUGUGACGGUAUCUUACCAGAAAGAGACGGCUAACUACGUG